AAGACCUUGCGCUUUUGGAGCGGCCGAUGUCUGAUUAGCUAGUUGGUGGGGUAAUGGCCUACCAAAGCUUCGAUCAGUAGCUGGUCUGAGAGGACGGCCAGCCACACUGGGACUGAGACACGGCCCAGACUCCUACGGGAGGCAGCAGUGGGGAAUUUUGGACAAUGGGCGCAAGCCUGAUCCAGCCAUGCUGCGUGAGUGAAGAAGGCCUUCGGGUUGUAAAGCUCUUUCAGCCGGGAAGAAAAGGCUGCGACUAAUAAUCGCAGUUCAUGACGGUACCGGAAGAAGAAGCACCGGCUAACUACGUGCCAGCAGCCGCGGUAAUACGUAGGGUGCGAGCGUUAAUCGGAAUUACUGGGCGUAAAGGGUGCGCAGGCGGUUUUGUAAGUCAGAUGUGAAAUCCCCGGGCUUAACCUGGGAACU
rnacentral:rRNA from 1 species